rnacentral:lncRNA from 1 species
UUGAGUCUUUAUAGUUUUAAAACAGUUGGCUUAUUGGCUGCUCUACGUGCCUCUCUUUUGUUACUGGUAAGCCAUUUUUUUUGUCUUUCCAGCAAGCAAAAAUGAUACAUAAAUCUUAGAAUCAUGACAACUUAUUUAACUUUUCAUAUUUGGCAGUGUAGGCAUGUACUAUAAACACUACUUAAAUAUCUUUCUUUGAUUUCAGCAUUUUAGUGACAUCACAUCUUUGUACAACCUAAAUCCUCCUGCUCCACCAGAAGUAGAAGUAAAAUGUGCAUCACCCCCAAAAAACUGGAAUAGCUUCAACACACUCUAUCCAAGUUAUGAUCAGUAUUAUCAGUCUUUAGAGCUGCAUGAUAAAGGUCUAUCUAAUGUGAAUCCUGAAGCCAUGAUCCCACCAUUAAAUCAUCAUGAGGAUUUUAUUAACUCUGACCUUUCAAGUUAUAUGCAAAAGAAGUCAUGUUCUUCAGAUGUAGUUGUGGGGAAGAAGCAGGACUUCUUUGUUGUGCCAAAGGAUUAUGAAGAUUCUGCUCAUCCAGAUGUUAAGGAUUCUGUUUAUGUUCAACGACAGCCCUUCAUGAUGUGCUCUAGCUCUGAUCAUUAUUCCAAAAAUUCUGAAGAGGAUUUCCUUGCAACUUUCAGUGAAUAUGCAUCUCCAGAGAGAUCUAAGAGUUUUCUAGAAGAAUUUAGAGGUGUGACAUCUAGGAGCCCAGAAAUUCUAAUUGACAAGACCCUUUGGAAUGACUGUUCAUCCACUUACACAUAUGAUUCAUUUGCCCCUGUUGAUCCAGAUGAGCUUCAAAGUCCAAACUUUCACCAAACACCUAGAGAAUCUUCAGGAAGGAGAAAAAAUUGUGCAUCAUUACUAUGGACAGAAGAAAAAAAUGUGACAGAUUUAGGAUUUGCAGAAGUACCACAGGGCAAAAAAAGGAGACUGACAUUUGAAAGAGUCCCUGGAAGACGUGAUGGACAAACACGUCUUAAAUUCUUUUGAGUGGAGUGAGGAGCUGCAUACCAUCAAUACUUUUUUAAAUUUUUAAAACAUUUAUAGCAAAAUCGAUUAAAUUCAGUUCUUUGUUCAUUUUUAAAGAAAAAUUGGGGUUGAGGAAGAGUGUUGGCAAUUUGCUCAUUAAGGACUUUUAUAUAUGUUUAAAAUUUUACUAACAAAGGUGUUCCCUGAACCUGGAGAAUUUAUUGCUUUUCUGUUUGUUCUUAUAAGUCAUAUAAG